UGGUUGCUAUGGAAACAGAGGAGCUCCUGAAGUUUUGAAGUCGAAACUUUUUCAAUAGGAACUUAUUCAUGUAUGACAUCAGUUCAUUCAUUUAUACAUGUAUAGAAACUAGCUAAGGUGCAUUAUGGGUGAUCAGCAUGGCCUUGACUACUGCAGCGCAAUGCAUUGUGGGAUAUCGAGGUCAGGGUCUGCUCUGUGUUGCAUGAUUAGCGCGUGCACGCGAAACAGCCACUUCCGGUUCAUCCUUUUUCCAGGUCUAUAGCCAGAGACGUGAGACGUGAGACUGGCUCAGGAAUGUUACUGGAGACGUCUCGUCAUCACGUGUGUUUUCUAACCUGCUCACAUGAGUAUCACCUGUUAUUACUCACGUGCUGAGUUUCUUCUAUUUCUUAAUAUAUUAGAUUACAGCUACAUUUCCCACAAUCCCCCUGUCUUUCGUGUGUAAUUCUUCUUCUGUAUGAGAAGCAAAUGAUCUCACAGCCCUUUUUUAGCUUCUAAGCUAACGAUCAGACCAAAGCAACCCAGAAUCAGUUUAACCUUUACGACUGAAAAUCUCCUUGGACUUGAGCACGAGAUUAUUUACACUCCAAACGUGUAAAAUUAAAAAAGAAAACAUUAUACUAAAAAUAUAAUAUUAAUAUUAGUAGUAAUGAUAUGAUUAUUAGUGUAAACACGGUUUGGUGGUUGCUUUUGUGUCGGAACUUUUUGAUAUGAAACGUGAAUUAAUAUUCUGUACAUGAUUCUAUAAAGUUUUAAAAUGUCUUUCUUUUAAAAAAAGCAACAUUUUUCAUCAACAUUUGCUCUCAUUUAGGACAAAAUGUCUGAAGCCUCGACUCCUCAACUCUAUUGUCCAACAAAAAUAUGCUAA